GGGGCGUGAAGGGAGGAGAGAGUCCGGAGCGUGCAGGGUGUCCCGGCCAUGAGGGCGGCGCUGACGCUGUGGUUGGCCCUCAUUGGGGGCGCUGCGGUGACGGCGCUGCGGUGCCCCGACGGCGCCUCCGAGUGCCCCCAAAACACCACAUGCUGCGGCACCGCGAGCGGAGCCUGGGGGUGCUGCCCCAUGCCGGAGGCCGUGUGCUGCCGGGAUGAGGAGCACUGCUGUCCCCACUCCACCAGCUGUGAUUUGGAGCGCGGGCGCUGUGUGUCCCCUACGGGGGACGUCCCCAUGGCCACCAAAUUCCCGGCCUGGAAGAGACCGCCCGGUGCUGCGGCACAGCCCCGGCUCCGCGUCCCAGCAGUGGCGCUGCUCCGGGUGCAGUGUCCCGACAACAGCUCCGCGUGUCCCGACGGCGCCACGUGCUGCCAGCUGCCCUCGGGGCGCUACGGCUGCUGUCCCCUGCAGAACGCCGUGUGCUGCGGCGACGGGUGGCACUGCUGUCCCCAGGGCACCGCGUGUGACCUGCAGCGCUCCAUGUGCACCUCGGUGCGGGACGUGGCGCGCGUUGGUGACGUGAAGUGUGACGAUGAGAUGAGCUGUCCCGACGGGAACACGUGCUGCAGGCUGAGCUCCGGGCAGUGGGGGUGCUGCCCGCUGGAGCAGGCCGUGUGCUGCCCCGACCACAUCCACUGCUGCCCCCAGGGCUACACCUGCGACCCCCAGGGGGGGACGUGCCUGCAGGGGGGGGUCCGCCUGCCCUGGCUGAGGAAGACCCCGGCGCUGUGGGGUCGGGGUGGGGACGUGCGGUGCGACGACAGGACGAGCUGUCCCGAUGGGAGCACGUGCUGCAGGCUGAGCGGGGGCGCGUGGGGGUGCUGCCCUCUGGAGCAGGCUGUGUGCUGUAAGGACCACCAGCACUGCUGCCCCCAGGGCUACACCUGCGACAUCGCCACGCAGAGCUGCGAGAAGCUGUGACCCCCCCGGGGCUGUGACCCCCCCACCCCAAUAAAGGGUUUGUAGGAAAAAAAACCCAAAGGAUUUUGGGGGAGGAAGAGGCGGAGGCA